rnacentral:rRNA from 1 species
AACGAACGCUGGCGGCAUGCCUAACACAUGCAAGUCGAACGAGACCUUCGGGUCUAGUGGCGCACGGGUGCGUAACGCGUGGGAACCUGCCCUUAGGUUCGGAAUAACUCCCCGAAAGGGGUGCUAAUACCGGAUAAUGUCUUCGGACCAAAGAUUUAUCGCCUUUGGAUGGGCCCGCGUUGGAUUAGCUAGUUGGUAGGGUAAAAGCCUACCAAGGCGACGAUCCAUAGCUGGUCUGAGAGGAUGAUCAGCCACACUGGGACUGAGACACGGCCCAGACUCCUACGGGAGGCAGCAGUGGGGAAUAUUGGACAAUGGGCGAAAGCCUGAUCCAGAAAUGCCGCGUGAGUGAUGAAGGCCUUAGGGUUGUAAAGCUAUUUUAACCGGGAUGAUAAUGACAGUACCGGGAGAAUAAGCUCCGGCUAACUCCGUG